GUGGAGGUGACCUGACAAACUUAGGGAAUUUCCAGACAAGACAAACACCGCCAAUCACAAGACAACAAGGGCUGUGACACAAACAUAAGGAUAAAUACUCAUGCAAGGAAGUAGCAAACCUGGAGAGCAUCUCUGCUGAGGCUGGAUCAUAUUGCAGAAAUUGAUGCGACAUCCUGGCAUUCAACUCUCUAAAAACCACUGCGAAGAGGAUAACAUACACUCAGCAUUCCUGGCCAGGAGAAGCAGAAUUAGGAGAGAAGAAAGAUUUGGAACUCCACAGACACUGGGAUCAUGACUUGACUAAUGAUCUUCAAGAUCCCUUCUAACCCAAGCCAUUCUAUGAAUUUAUAAAUCUAUGAUUCUAUGAAUCUAUGAUUCUAUGAUUCUGUGUUUCUGUGACUGCUUACCUUAUGAACCAGCCUCUUCUGAUUGGUCCCAUCUGAUCUCUA
rnacentral:lncRNA from 1 species